GGGGCACAGCACGUGCAGGGCUGGAAGGCCGAGGAAGGCUGUGGAAGGUUGUGUCGGCAUCAAGGAAGGCGUCCAGCGUCUCCAGAGCCUCUACAAGUGCCUCCAUUAAACCAGCUUUUGGAAAGAAUCUGUUAAGCCCAUUCAGCUAAGCGGCACGGGGUCACAGGGCUUUGAGUAGCCUUCCUCCUCUGUGACGCCGAGUAGGGAACCCCUGGACGGGGCUCCACGGUGGACUCUCAGGGGCAGGCACCCGGGACCACCCUACAAAGCCUCGCUCUCCAGGCCACAAUCCAGAGCCUCCGGUCUGCGCAGGGUCCUCGUUGCAUCCAGCGGGCGGUAUCGAGAAGCCAUGCGCUGGCGGUUUGAUGCAACGCGACCCUCAGAGCCGACCCAGCGUGUGACCAAGCAUAGAAUUUUUUUUUUUU